rnacentral:lncRNA from 1 species
AAUGAUGUUCUCAGAAACAUGAUUGAUCAAAGAACCCUAUCAUAUCCUUUCUUACGUUACUUCCUCGUACCAGGCAACCACUUUUGCUGAAGAUGAUGCUUUUCAGGCAGAAGGCAGAGGAAGCUGCGUGACUCAGACAUCAUCACCAGGGAUGUUAAGCAGGCUGGCCCAUCGCAAGAGCCAAGGAGUGUAUGCCCUUUUGCCUCCUGUCCAUUCCGUUAUGUGAGGACACGGUGUUUGUCUGCUCUGGAGGAUGCAGCCACAAGGUGCCAUCUUGGAAGUGGAGACUGGACCUUCAGCAGACACUGAAUAUGCUGGCACCUUGAUCUCAAACUUCCCAGCCUCCAGGACUACGAGAGCCAGGUGUGGUGAAUCAGGCCUGUAAUCCCAGCACUUUGGGAGGCCAAGGCGGGCAAAUCACUUCAGCUCAGGAGUUUGAGACCACUCUGAACACCAUGACUCCAAACUCCACGUAGACAGGGAGCCUGUCUGCUGCUCUCAACUUUGGACUCAGCAUCUAACGUAGUCCCGGGUGCUUAGGAGAUGCUCAACAAAUACUUAACAAUUGGGUGAACACAUGGCUAUGUUGCCACAGAAUUUGAAAGCUCAUUCCCCACAUGCGGAUGAAGAAGAAGCAACAAAGAGCAUCUAGCACAUUGAAUGCCUGGUGAAAAGGCAUCCUCUUCCUCAUCGACAUGGAUGGAGCAUUCAUGCCAUGCCCACAGAAAUGAAAGGCAAAUAGCCUGACUCGGAAUCAAUGCUUAGUUCUUCCCUGGCUCUGUGACUGCAUAGAUGUAUGGUCUCAUAUGGAGAAGUUUGUAUCCCUAUGGAUGCCCCACCCAUUUCAUGCAUCUAAUAGGAAUAUGAAAUGUGCAGAGCUCUAAUUUUUAUGAAGCCUUAAGGGAAUUUUUGAUUUGGGAUUUUUGCUUCCCCUGGACCUGGAGGAAGAGAAAGGAAGGCCAAUGAGUGAGCGAUGACAGUGCAGAGGCACCUGGGCAAAGCUCCGUGGCCUUUGGGAAAAGAGGCUACUCGGCUCAGGUGAUUAAGUACAUGUGAGACCUUAAUUCCUCUGUCAAAACAACAACAACAAAAUCCCCAAACUAUGAAAAGCCACAGACUUCUAGGAAUAGAAGACAAGAGGAGGAAGGACGGGGAGGAGGAAGAUACCAAGGGGAAAAUGAUGGGAAAAGCUGAUUUUGUAGCCCUGAGCAUAUAGGAAACGCCCCCACGCUGAUGACUUCUUCGAAUAAAUGUUGCUUGAAGAAAAGAAAGGCACCAGAAAGAGCAGCCUGGGCAACACAGCAAGACCCUGUCUCAAAAAAAAAAACAAAAACCAACAAAACAAAACAAAAAACAAAACUAUGUUCCCAUAGGAACAUUGUUUUUGUUGACUCCCAGGCUAUUACUUUUUUUACAAUUUUAUUUUAUUUAUUUAUUUAUUUGUUUAUUUAUUUAGGAGACAGAGUCUUACUGUCAGAGGCUGGAGUGCAGUGGCGCAGUGGUGCAGUCUCAGCUCACAGCAACCUCUGCCUCCCGGGUUCAAGCAAUUCUCCUGUCUCAGCCUCCUGAAUAGCUGGAAUUACAGGCACCCGCCACUACACCUGGCUAAUUUUUGUUUUCAGUUUCACCAUGUUUGCCAGGCUAGUCUUGAGCUGCUGACCUCAAGUUAUCUGCCCAUCUCGGCCUUCCAAAGUGCUGGGAUUACAGGUGUGAGCCAUGGCGCCUGGCCCCAGGCUAUUAUUUUUGGUAAGAAAAUGUUUCGUCAUUUUGCAUUUGCCUACAAAGGCAGUGACUGACACAUCUGACACAUUUAUAAUCACAAAUUCAAACAAAAGCACCAGAACUCCCCAGGUCAGAUAGGAGGCUGUUUAUGCCAAAUCGGAGCAUGCAGGAUGUCAGAGGACUUCUCUGAGGGCGCUUAUAUUUCCUUAUUCUUUAUUUGCAUCUGGUUCUCCUUUGUGACUCUGUAAUGCCCUAUAUUUCUCCAAAUAUAGCACUUACCCACCGUA